ACUAGGGCCGAGAAUUAACCAAGCCCUGGUUAAAGCUCAGCCAAGACUCAACUCGCUAUGGCUCGGUUCUAGUUCAGGAUUGGCUUGAGACCUAAAGAGACGAGCCAUGAGCAAGACUAAGCUCGGCUAAAAAAGCUCGCGACAGCUUGAGGUUAGUUUUUAAAAUAAAAAAUAUAAUAAAUAAUACUCUGUAAUAUUCAUUAGUAAAACAUCUAAUUCUACUCAAUUACUCCUUCAAAAACGUUUACUUGAAAAAAUUGGAAGAAAAAAAACAACAAAACAAAAAAGUAAAUAAACCACUAGCGAAAGGCCCAAGCCCAACCAGACCAACAAAACCCAUUCGCCAAAAUCUCACAAAAACCCGAAACACCAAUCACGAGUCACGACUCACCGCCGCUACUCAGUCGCUGAUAGCUCAGUCCAUGGCUGGCGACCCACCAACAGGUAUGAAUUUCAAAUUUCUCAUUUUCUCAUUUUUUUUUUUCAAUUUAGUAUAUAUUGUUCCUUAAAUGUUCUUGAAUUUAAUAUUGUUAAUCAAAUGUUGAAGACGAUCAACCAAAAAGUUGUUACAAAAUUUGUGAAGAUCGACAUUCAUGGGAUGGAGAAUUGAGCCUAGAAGAGCUUACAACUUGUAUGAUUGUGAAACUUUGGUGGAGUAACUUAUACUUCCUCCAUUUUUUUUUAAUUGCACAAUCUGGGAUUUCACGCUUGCCAAUGCACUAUUUUAAUCACUAAUAUCUCUCAUUAUACCUUUUAAAAAAUUAUAAAAAUUUGAUCAUUCGAAAGUAUAUUUCGAGACGAAUCUAACAAGAUCCCACAUGAAUAUAUUUUUCCUUACAUAUAAAUCACAAAAAUUAACUAUAUAAGAAUAUGUGAAUAGUGAUAAAACCAAGAUGGUGCAAUUAUAAAAAAAUGGAGGAAGUAUUUGAAUUUGUAAUGUAUGUAUGAUUUAGUUAUUUGUGUUUUUGGAGACUUUUUUUAUUUGUGAGAUCUGUAUCACCUAAAUAAUAUGUAUCAAUGUAUGAUUAAUUUUAAGUUAUGAGCCUCAAACGAGCUCGAGCCACGAGCUGAGCCUCCCAUUCCAACACAGGAGCCCGAGCCGAGCUCCAUUUUUGAGGCUCGACGAGCCUCGAGCUCUAGCAAAGCCUCCUUUCCAAAACUCGAACUCGAGCUGAGCCUCCCACUAUUCGGGCUCGUCUCGACUCAUUCCCAACUCCUAGCCUAGAUAUCAUUCAAGACACUUAAAGGCAGCACACCGUAAAACAAGAUGGAAACUAGAGACAAGUUACUGAAAGGGUAAAAUGACUCAUAAGUACUAAAAGGUUCCAGAUUUCUUCUCUAUAGGCUCACAUAGAGCAAGAUGGAAACUACCAAACCUAAUGACCUCAAUAACCUAAACCACAAGGUGACGAGAUUGCAAACUAGUCAUAUACUACAAGAUACAACAACAAAGUCAAAUAGGGGAUAGAUAACUAUCCUUUAUAUGAGUAGCAUUAAAAUUUAUAAUAGAUAAACUAGAAAUAAACCCAUAAUAGGACAUUCUAUAGAUCUUCCACCAGAGCAACAAGCUAACCAUUACAAAAGCAAAAAAAAUCCACCAAUUUUUUUUUUUAUCAAAUAUAUUAAUGCAACAAUAAUCCAAUAAUACUUUUCACCAUCAAUGUAGCAAAUUCCAAAAUGGUAUCUCGUCAUUGCAACAUUCUACAACCAAUCUCACUCCAAAUGAAUCAGUCAAACCAAAAUCAAAAUAAACCCUAAUUGUACCAGAAACAGGGCCAAACCCAGACAUCAUGUAAUCAAGAGUAAACCCACAGAAAAAGGCAAACCCUACAUCACAAAAAAUAACAUAAGAUGACUAGCAGACAUAAAGGUAUCCGGUGAAAUAACACAUUGUAUGACAAAUAAUUGAAGCAAUUAAUUUCAAAAAAUCAAAGUAGAAUUAAGAAAUCAGCUACGACAAAAUCAUCUUAAUUCAAGUUCAAAGCAAAAAAAUGAAAUCACAGUAAUAAAGUAAAAGGAAAAUAUAAGUCAAAUCGCCGAACAAUGAGAUGAGAUACCAUUUUGCAACCAAGACAUUUUAAAAGGUAGUUUUGUGCCACUUAUUUUUAAGGUAGUUUCUUGCAAAAACAACAUUUUGAAAAAUGGUUUCUCGCAAAAUUUCCACAAGUAAAGCGCAUACAAGUAGGAAACAUGACAAACAUCGGUACUAAGGAGGUGAACGAUGACGUUUGGAGCAUGAGCAAGAACAUCAAGGGCCUAUAGAUCUCAUCAUUUUAUUUUUUUAACACAACAGUAGCACUUAGUAGCAGAUAGGUUAAAUAAACACUCCAAAUUACACAAACCAAAGAACGUCCUCACGCAAAUUACAGUCCCGUACACCAUGUCUUUUAGCUGUUAAUAUGUUAUCAUCAAUUGAACAAACAUGGCCAUCGAUUCCAAAUUCAACGAGCCUUGUUAUUACCAUCGUUGCUGGUAUCACAAGCCUCAUUGUUUCGGCGAACAUAAAUCACUUCAAAAUUAGGAUUCUCAGUUAUAAUCUCAAAAUAAAUUUCAAAAUAUACAAGUAUGUUCCUGGGUUGGAGUGAAGCCACAUUGAUCUUAGUAUCACCUUUAAGAACAUAUAUAUAUAGUUACAUGACUCAUAAGUGAGCAAUGACUCCAAGGUGAGUUCCCUCAACAACUUAACAUGAUUACUGACAAGGCUCUCUCUAGUGAACGGAUAUGCCUCAGAUCCGUAAUCGCUCAAGAUCUGUCGUCCAUGAAAAUCCACGUAUUCACUAUCGGGUCCCACAAUAACUAGCUUUUCGGGAAUAUAUCCGCAAAUUUUGAUGUAGUUGGAGUAUUCGAAGGCCAUCCGCCACCAAGAUAUCUUGUUUUCCUUCAUAAACUUAUCUAUUUUGCUUUUGUGAACCUCUGGGCUAAAAAAGGGUAUGUAGACCACUACAAUCUCGAAUUCUUGCUUAUUAACUCUGCGUUGUUCAUAGACCUUGUUAAGGGUGUGAAUGAAACUUUUGUUAGUGAUACAGUGUAAAGCCCUGGACUGACUUUACCACACACACACAACACACGAACAGGAAUAGAGAAAGGAGAUGUUGAUUACUAGGACUCAACGGUCAAAGGGUUACAAAAUGCAGUAGCUUUAGGCUACAACUCUCCCUUUGUGCCAACUGCUGCCCCUGCUGUAGCUGUGUUGUUGUUGUGGUUGUGGUUGUGGUGCCUAUCCCCUCUUCUGUUGCGCCUGUAAUAGACCAGCAUAGGUGGGUCAGUGUUGGUAUGGUCCAUUACAACACCCCGCCCCCAAACCAACACCUUGUCCUCAAGGUGGAAGUCCGGAAAACGGUCAUUGAUCAAGCCUGCCACUUCCCACGUAGCAUCAAAUGAGGGCAAGCCUUUCCAUUUGAUCAAGACCAUGGUUUCUUUCCCCACACUUGCACGUGGCUCUACCAGCAGGUCCAACUCAGAAGUAAGUUGAUCAGGCAAGGAUGAUGCAGUCACCACUUCUCCAACUGCUCGUUUCAGCUGUGAAACAUGGAAUACCGGGUGAAUUUUACUGGUGGGAGGUAACCUGAGUUUGUAGGCGACCACACCAAUCUUCUGUAUAAUCUCGAAUGGGCCAUAAAAGCGGGCUGACAAUUUCUCGUUGGGCCUCGAUCUUGGCUAACGAACGUUGCCGAUAUGGUUGUAAUUUCAGAAAGACUUUGUCCCCCACUUCAAAACUCUCAUCCCUUCUUCUUUUGUCAGCAUUAUCUUUCA